rnacentral:rRNA from 1 species
UACGGAGGGUGCGAGCGUUAUCCGGAUUCACUGGGUUUAAAGGGUGCGUAGGUGGGAAUGUAAGUCAGUGGUGAAAUCUCUGGGCUUAACUCAGAAACUGCCAUUGAUACUAUGUUUCUUGAAUUUUCUGGAGGUCAGCGGAAUAUGUCAUGUAGCGGUGAAAUGCUUAGAUAUGACAUAGAACACCAAUUGCGAAGGCAGCUGGCUACAGGGAUAUUGACACUGAGGCACGAAAGCGUGGGGAUCAAACAGG